rnacentral:rRNA from 1 species
GGUGAACGCUGGCGGCGUGCCUAAGACAUGCAAGUCGAGCGGGCCGCGGGGUUUUACUCCGUGGUCAGCGGCGGACGGGUGAGUAACGCGUGGGUGACCUACCCGGAAGAGGGGGACAACCCGGGGAAACUCGGGCUAAUCCCCCAUGUGGACCCGCCCCUUGGGGUGUGUCCAAAGGGCUUUGCCCGCUUCCGGAUGGGCCCGCGUCCCAUCAGCUAGUUGGUGGGGUAAUGGCCCACCAAGGCGACGACGGGUAGCCGGCCUGAGAGGGUGGCCGGCCACAGGGGCACUGAGACACGGGCCCCACUCCUACGGGAGGCAGCCGUUAGGAAUCUUCCGCAAUGGGCGCAAGCCUGACGGAGCGACGCCGCUUGGAGGAAGAAGCCCUUCGGGGUGUAAACUCCUGAACCCGGGACGAAACCCCCGACGAGGGGACUGACGGUACCGGGGUAAUAGCGCCGGCCAACUCCGUG